rnacentral:rRNA from 1 species
UACGUAGGGUGCAAGCGUUGUCCGGAAUUAUUGGGCGUAAAGAGCUCGUAGGCGGUUUGUCGCGUCUGCUGUGAAAACCCGAGGCUCAACCUCGGGCCUGCAGUGGGUACGGGCAGACUAGAGUGCGGUAGGGGAGAUUGGAAUUCUUGGUGUAGCGGUGGAAUGCGCAGAUAUCAGGAGGAACACCGAUGGCGAAGGCAGAUCUCUGGGCCGUAACUGACGCUGAGGAGCGAAAGCAUGGGGAGCGAACAGG